GACGAACGCUGGCGGCGUGCCUAAUACAUGCAAGUGGGACGCAAGGAAACACACUGUGCUUGCACACCGUGUUUUCUUGAGUCGCGAACGGGUGAGUAACGCGUAGGUAACCUGCCUAUUAGCGGGGGAUAACUACUGGAAACGAUAGCUAAUACCGCAUAAUAUUAAUUAUUGCAUGAUAAUUGAUUGAAAGAUGCAAGCGCAUCACUAGUAGAUGGACCUGCGUUGUAUUAGCUAGUUGGUAAGGUAAGAGCUUACCAAGGCGACGAUACAUAGCCGACCUGAGAGGGUGAUCGGCCACACUGGGACUGAGACACGGCCCAGACUCCUACGGGAGGCAGCAGUAGGGAAUCUUCGGCAAUGGACGAAAGUCUGACCGAGCAACGCCGCGUGAGUGAAGAAGGUUUUCGGAUCGUAAAGCUCUGUUGUAAGUCAAGAACGUGUGUGAGAGUGGAAAGUUCACACAGUGACGGUAGCUUACCAGAAAGGGACGGCUAACUACGUG
rnacentral:rRNA from 1 species